CUUUCUUGUAUUUGGCAACUUCAUUUUAUAAGCAUUCUGUUUUCAAGUUUUAUGUGUUCAUGUAAUGAUUUUGUGCUUCGUUGUUUUAGAUAUUCGUGAAUGUAAUUAGAUGUAAUUUAAGUAGAUUAAGAGCUUUAGAGAAAUGUGAACAGAAAUUUAUCAUGUGAAAUAGAUAAAAAAAUUCUCACUCUACACAGGAGUAAAGAAACAGCAAAUGAAACAAGUGCUAUGUUUUUACAGCAGAUCUAGUCAAUUUCAACCACAAAUUGAAAUUAUAAAAUGAACUAUGAAUGAUAAGGAGUACUUUGAAACACAAUUUCUAAUAUGAGAGAUUUUUGAAAUAAAGCAUAACGAAUAUUCUGGAAACUAGCUGAACGUCAUUCUGAUAAAUAUAUGCAGGAAAGUGUUUACUCAUAAACAAGAUUAAUCGGUUGAUUAGUAUAAUCAAAAAUAUAUCUGUAUGCAUGAAAUGAAAUUAUCUGUCUUAGAAUUUAAAGUAUCUGCUGACCUUUGAAAGAGGAUUUAAUAAAUAUUUAUAAUGCAUAUUGAAAGUAAAGACAUAUGUUUGUUGUAUCUGCAAUAAAUAAUUUAUGAUUAAAUUAAUUGAAAUAAGAUAAGUAAAACCAGUUUAACUAAAUAUAUAAGAGAAAUUUUAUGCCUGUGAAAUGUAUCGCAAAAUGAUUGUUUUGUGAAAUAUUAUUUAAAUAAAAACCUUUCCUUAUAUAUAUCCGAGGAAAACAUAGCCGUCAAUAUGAGCUGUGAAUCAUCUUCCGAGUUCCAAGAUUUAAAGAGAAAUAUCCUGCCACAUACCAAAGAAUCCAGCGACAUGCACAGCAUGCAGUUUCUUCUGCGAAAUGAUUUAAAUACACAUUUAGUAUCACACAGAAAAGAGAAGCAAUAUGCUUGUAAAACUUUUUCUGAACGAACAAAAUUAAACAAACAUUUACAGAUGCAUACUAAAGAAAAAUUAUAUGCUUGCAAAAUGUGCACUAGAGCGUUUUCUGCUCUGGGAAAUUUAAAGAGGCAUUUACUGACACAUACGGACUGUAAACCAUAUGCCUGUGAGAUGUGUAAUAAAGCUUUUACUCGACGAGAAAAUUUAGAGAUACAUUUACGGUUGCAUACUGAAGAAAAACUAUAUGCUUGCGAAAUGUGCACUAGAGCUUUUUCUGUUCAAGGAAAUUUAAAGAGGCAUUUACUGACACAUACGGACUGUAAAUCAUAUGCCUGUGAGGUGUGCAAUAAAGCUUUUACUCGACAAGGAUAUUUAGAGAUACAUAUGCGGACGCAUACGAACGAAAAACCAUAUGCUUGCCAGCAAUGUUAUCAAGAGUUUUCUCAGCAAGGAAAUUUAAGAAGACAUUUACGGAUACAUACUAAAGAGAAACCAUAUGUCUGUGAUGUGUGUAAUAAAUUGUUUACUCGGAGAGGAGGUUUAAAAAAACAUUUAGCAACGCAUAAAGGCGGAACCAUAUGACUACGAAAUGAGCACUGAGGCGGUUUCUGUUUUAUUAAACGUUUUUAAUUAAAUAGUAUGCAAAGUCAAUCUAAAUACAAUAUGAAAAUACAAGCACUGCUUCUGUAGUUAUAUAAUAUAUGUUGCCAAAAUAUAACAAACUUUAUAUGCAAUAUUUCCAAAUAUUACAUCCCCCCCCCCAAUUACAAAUUAAGCUUAUUUGGUCACCAAAUGUUGGUCCACUUCUUGUCUUAUAAAACCUUCAUGUACCAGUUGUUGAAGACGACGUUAUUGGGUGGGUAGGGGAUGAAUCUUGAGAUUGGCUUGGAGAUCCUGGCUUCUCAUUUGGCAGUGAGACAGGUGAUGCGUCUUUUGGAAGAUUGCGCCAGAUGAUACUUCUGGGAGUUUCUACAAAAUAUGAUCAAGGUGCAGCAUACUUUGCUUUUAUCUUCCUAUAGCAUUUUUUUUAUCUGUGAUCCAAGCGAUUUGUCCUGGUUCAAGUUCUGUGUAGCAAGGAACAACAUCUCUGACGCUGUGAUGUUCACCAUAAUGUUUUGUUUGAUUGGCCCCAUAUGAAUAUAUUUAUAUGUCUUCUGCUAUUGGAAUUUUGAGCAUUGGUUGCUGUUAGCGCUAUUGCGUGAGUUUUUUUCAUAGUUGCUAUCAUGUUUUAUGAUCGUUUACUAUUGUAAUUAAACAGGAUGCAAAGUUAAACUUAAGAUGAAUUUAUAUUCUAGAUGAAGAUACAAGCACAGCGUCUGCGACCACAAUAUAUAAUGUUGAUAUAACAGAAAAAUGAACUUUAUGCAAAUUUUAUUACAGUUUCUAUUUAAAGUAAUGUAUUCAUUUACUGAAGCCGACGAAAGAGUAACUAUAUGCUUGUUACCAGCUUAUUAAACCAUUUUUUUAGCAGGGAGAUAGUAUAUGUCAUUUACUGAUGCAUAGGGACAAAGAACAAAAUGCAUUAUAUAAUAGGGCAUUUCAUCAAUAUGGUUAAAUGUCCAUUCAUUGCAGCAUACAGGAGGAGAAUGAAAUAUUUCUGAAUACAUACAAAUGAGAAAUCUUUUGAAUGGUACCUAUGUUUGGAAGCAUCUUCUCUGAAAGAAAUUUAAUGAAACAUUUACUAAACACUUAAGAAUGGGAAACUAUACAAAUGGGGUUUUAUAGCAUAGGAUUUUAUGAUUUUAUAAUUUAAAAAUGCAUUCAUAUUUAUGAUAAAAAAUUUAUUAACCUUUAUUUAUUUUUUUCCCCUUAAGUUUGGUUUUCUGUACCUUUUAUUUAAAAUUCCAAAAUAGCAUUAAUUUUUUUUAUCCAUACUCUAGAAAAGAUAACUGUUUUAUUUAUGCAUACAUUUUCUUUUGUUUCCUUUUUAAUUUGUAUUUUAAAAUAUAAUAAUAAUAAUUUUUGAAAGAAUGUAAUUAUUAAAUAUGAUGUUUCAUUUGUGCUUGCGUGUGUGUAAUGAUAUUUCUUAAUUUAAUUUAAAACUUAAUUUUCUAUUUUUUACCUUAAAUUAGCAUGUCACUUUAUUCUAAAAUUUUCUCCUAUUUCCUUCUGCAAAUCCCACUUUUUUUUAAUUUAUUAUUUGUAAUACACACUCAAAAAAAUUGCACUCUCAAUCCUCACGCCCCUAGAGAAGGGAUAAAAAUCUUUUAACACCUAUGCCAUAACUUCUAAAGGUAACUAAGAUUCCAUUUCCAGAAUCGUGUCAAAGAAAUUCCUAAAAGAGUCUUUUAUAAAAAUACUAAAGAGAAAAUUUCUUCUUGCUUUCACUUUGGUGAGAGCAGACAUGUUCUGCCUUUUGCCCUGUGUGCAAAUCAUACCCUCCCAUGGAAAAAUAAAUUGUUUUCCAAAUUUGUCUUCUUUUUAGCUAAGCAUCAACAAAAUUAUGUUGCACACACCUUUAUAUAAAUAAUCGGAUUAAUCACAUUUAUCGUAGCAUAAAUACUGAUAAUAAUGUGUGUACUAAAAUUUUUGGAAAUAAAGCCACAAUGUAA